rnacentral:rRNA from 1 species
AGAGUUUGAUCCUGGCUCAGGACGAACGCUGGCGGCGCGCCUAACACAUGCAAGUCGAACGAGCGAUGGAGAGCUUGCUUUCCAGAGCGAGUGGCGAACGGGUGAGUAACGCGUGAGGAACCUGCCUCAAAGAGGGGGACAACAGUUGGAAACGACUGCUAAUACCGCAUAAGCCCACGGGUCGGCAUCGACCAGAGGGAAAAGGAGCAAUCCGCUUUGAGAUGGCCUCGCGUCCGAUUAGCUAGUUGGUGAGGUAACGGCCCACCAAGGCGACGAUCGGUAGCCGGACUGAGAGGUUGAACGGCCACAUUGGGACUGAGACACGGCCCAGACUCCUACGGGAGGCAGCAGUGGGGAAUAUUGCACAAUGGGGGAAACCCUGAUGCAGCGACGCCGCGUGGAGGAAGAAGGUCUUCGGAUUGUAAACUCCUGUUGUUGGGGAAGAUAAUGACGGUACCCAACAAGGAAGUGACGGCUAACUACGUGCCAGCAGCCGCGGUAAAACGUAGGUCACAAGCGUUGUCCGGAAUUACUGGGUGUAAAGGGAGCGCAGGCGGGAAGACAAGUUGGAAGUGAAAUCCAUGGGCUCAACCCAUGAACUGCUUUCAAAACUGUUUUUCUUGAGUAGUGCAGAGGUAGGCGGAAUUCCCGGUGUAGCGGUGGAAUGCGUAGAUAUCGGGAGGAACACCAGUGGCGAAGGCGGCCUACUGGGCACCAACUGACGCUGAGGCUCGAAAGUGUGGGUAGCAAACAGGAUUAGAUACCCUGGUAGUCCACACCGUAAACGAUGAUUACUAGGUGUUGGAGGAUUGACCCCUUCAGUGCCGCAGUUAACACAAUAAGUAAUCCACCUGGGGAGUACGACCGCAAGGUUGAAACUCAAAGGAAUUGACGGGGGCCCGCACAAGCAGUGGAAGUAUGUGGUUUAAUUCGACGCAACGCGAAGAACCUUACCAAGUCUUGACAUCCUGUGACAGAAAUAAAAAUACGUUCUUCCUUCGGGACACAGAGACAGGUGGGGCAGGGUUGCCUCCACCUCGUGCCGGGAAAUGUGGGUUAAUCCCGCAACGAGCGCACCCUUAUGGUCUGUUCUCCCCAAGAGGACUUGGCCAAAUGGCGUUGAAAAAAAGGAGAAGGGGGGGGUGAGGCCAAAUCAUCAUGCCCUUUAUGACUUGGGCUACACACGUACUACAAUGGCGUUAAACAAAGAGAAGCAAGACCGCGAGGUGGAGCAAAACUCAGAAACAACGUCCCAGUUCGGACUGCAGGCUGCAACUCGCCUGCACGAAGUCGGAAUUGCUAGUAAUCGUGGAUCAGCAUGCCACGGUGAAUACGUUCCCGGGCCUUGCACACACCGCCCGUC